CUGGCUUACAAAAAGAAGAGGAGGAAGAAUAAGAAGACGACGGCAAUGCUGAAUCAGAAUCUUUACUGCUGAGUAAAUUAAGUGGAAGGACCAUUGCUGGAGAAGAAAUAAUUAUUCACAUCAACAUUAGCAGGGACAUGGGUUAGCUGUGGGUAGCAUAUCUUUCCUUUAAGUCACCAGGACAGAGCAAGGAAAGGGCAUGCUGCUUUGCCGUGACAGUCUUCAUUUUUUUCCCACCAUCCCUGUGGUGUGGUCAGAGAGAUUUCUAGAACCCAGUGCCAAGUCUGAGAUCAGAUUUGGAACAGAAUUCUUGCUACCUUCUGAGAUGCCACAAACCCAGCUGGAACCCUGAGCCUCUGAGACAGUGCCACAUUCUGUUUGCUAUGAGUUACAUUCUCAAUGCCUUCCAAGGCCGCUGGCCAAGGCCAUUCACAGAGAAGGGAGGCAUCCUCACCAAGGCUGAGAUGAGGAUGUGUUAGAAAAUGCCAGACAGGGUAUAUACCAUUCUUCCCUCCUAUGGACAGGAAACAACAAAAACAACAACAAAAAGGCAGAACAAAAGAGCAGUCAGAGGUUAACUUGCAUUCCCGGCAAAGUUCUAAGACGUGAGACCAUCAGGCAGCAAAAUGGGCCCAUCAGGCAUCAAUAACGUGGUGAGAAGGAGGCACCAGGAGAAGUGAAGCAAAGGCAUUUCCCAUGGCUUUAUGUGCAGAUUCCAGAAGCUACUGCCAGAACAUGGAGUCCAGAGUCACGGGCAAGUGGAGGCCCAAAGGACUGAGGUUUGAGCCAGGUGAGAGAAUCCAGGAGCCUGGACAGAGGAAGAUCUAUCACUUACCCAUAGGCUGGAUGGAAGUCAGCAUCUUGGGAAGAAGCCAAACCAAAACCCAGUCAGACCAUUCAACUGUCUCAUCAUCCAAGAGGCUAAGGGUGGAGAUCAAGCAUCCAAGUGCAAGCCAACAGAACCAAAUGAGAUCCAAGAUGUCAUUGGCCUCAUUGGCCAGAGCAAGGAAAAACACAUCUGGGAAAACCUCUUGUUUAUGUGUCUUUCUUUGUACAGGGUAUCAGUAGUUUUAGCUAUAGAGGGAACUAAGAAAGUCACAAACCUGACAACUGUACUUUUUUCUCAAUAAAUGCAAGGAAAAGAGAGGAAAAAAGAGGUUA
rnacentral:lncRNA from 1 species